rnacentral:rRNA from 1 species
CAAUAGCGUAUAUUAAAGUUGUUGCAGUUAAAAAGCUCGUAGUUGGAUUUCUGGUGGGAGCGAUCGGUCUGGCGCUUAGCGCGAGUACUUGCAUCGUCUCCGGCCAUCCUUGGGGAGAGUCUGUCUGGCAUUAGGUUGUCGGGCAGAGGAUCCUCAUCGUUUACUGUGAAAAAAUUAGAGUGUUCAAAGCAGGCUUAUGCCGUUGAAUAUAUUAGCAUGGUAUAAUAAGAUAGGACUUUGGUACUAUUUUGUUGGUUUGCGCACCAAAGUAAUGAUUAAUAGGGACAGUUGGGGGUAUUCGUAUUCCGUUGUCAGAGGUGAAAUUCUUGGAUUUACGGAAGACGAACUACUGCGAAAGCAUUUACCAAGGAUGUUUUCAUUAA